rnacentral:rRNA from 1 species
UACGGGGGGGGUAAGCGUUGUUCGGAAUUACUGGGCGUAAAGGGCUCGUAGGCGGCCAACUAAGUCAGACGUGAAAUCCCUCAGCUUAACUGGGGAACUGCGUCUGAUACUGGAUGGCUUGGAUUUGGGAGAGGGAUACGGAAUUCCAGGUGUAGCGGUGAAAUGCGUAGAUAUCUGGAGGAACACCGGUGGCGAAGGCGGCAUCCUGGACCAAUAUUGACGCUGAGGAGCGAAAGCCAGGGGAGCAAACGGG